CAAUUGCAUAUGCUCCGAGUCAGGUUUGUCUAAGGUAACAGCUAUGAUGGCCUGGCCGAUAGGGUUUGUCGGGAAACCGGCAGGCCUCCCAACGCGGAAAGGAGUACAGUAUAAUACUUU
rnacentral:ncRNA from 2 species